AUGAGUGGAGUUUUAAGCACCGUGUUCAUGCAGGAGGUUUUUGUACAGCUGUUGAUUGGGUUUGUAUCACUGUGGCGAACGUUCGGUGGAGGCACCCGACUCUCAGUUGGAACUGCGGCUCGUCCCGCUCUCACGGUGCUGCCUCCCUCCAGAGACGAGCUGCAGCAGGGUAAGGCUACAGUGCUGUGUGUGGCCAGUAAGGGAUUCCCCUCUGACUGGAAGCUGAGCUGGAAGGUGGACGACAGCAGCAGGAGCUCUGGUGUCAAUCUGAGUCCCGGUCAGCUGCAGAAGGAUGGACUGUACAGCUGGAGCAGCAGCCUGAGCCUCACUGAGAGUGAGUGGAGCAGAGCAACAACCGUCAGCUGUGACGCCACGCACCCGUCCCACAAUGCAGUGACCAAGAGCCUCGACACACAGCAGUGCAAUGAUGAGUGAAUACACACACUGACACAAAAACACAUAGAUUAUAGGCAUGCAUAAUAAUUUGUGCACUCACACAUACACAGUCUUAAUAAAGAAUAAACAUCACUGUAUUAUAAUUUGCUUUGUAUGUUAAUAUUUUUAAUACCUGAUUAACACAUAUGAUCAAGUAUGCUUUCUUAAAUGUUUUGCCAAAUAAAAGCUUUAUGAAUCAUUAA